GACAGUGGUGGCUCAAUGGUUAAGGCGCCGGGUUACUGAUCGGAAGGUCGGGGGUUCAUGCCCCAUCACCGCCA